UGAAAGAGGAACUAGGUUAAGAAAAUAUGUACGUGAAAUUCUUCCUCCUCACAACACAUAGACGGCGACCUCCUUUGGUUUCCGGCGAAUAGAUCUCCCUCGUCAAUCCCUCUGAUUCUCAUGACAACUCGGUUCUCUCAUUCUCCUCACAACGAAAAAAUGGCAGUGGAUCUUUCCGAUCGAAGCCACACGGCGGAGACUCCCUCCAAUCCCUCUCUCUUGACUCCAUCUCAAGUCUAAUUCUAUCCGAUUCAUCUCUCUCAUUCCGGCGAUUUUUCGAGUAUGACGAUGGUGAGAAGAAAACCAGAGAGGAUAUUCUUCAUGAACCGCGUUGUUGCGUUGAUGAUGAUGUUGAUUGACGUUGAGACGCGAUGAAGAUUGAUGAUAUUGCGUUGAUGAAUAUCGUGUUGUUGUUGAUGAAUGGAAGUUGUUUGAAGAACGAUGAAGAUUCGAUCAAGCUUUCUGUUACAAGUUUUUUCUCUUUUUCUGUUAUCAAUUUUUUCUGCCGAUUGAAGGUUGAAGACGAAAGAUACUCAGGAGUUUCAAGAGAGAAUUGAAGUUGAACUGGUGUUGAUUCAAGAUAAUCGUUAUGGAGGUGAUUAACGAUGAUGAAGGUUCUGAGAUAUGUUCCCUUGAAGAGUGAAGGUUAUGGAGAUUCGGGAAGAAGAUUCAGAGAGAAUGAAGGAGAUUGAAUCGUAUCCAGAAGUUUGUUACGUUUUGGUUAUUCAUUUCUUUCAAUUUCUGUUACUUUUUUUUGUUAUCAACUUCUCCCUUUUCUUCUCAGUUCUGUUAUAGGUUUUGUUAAAGAUUGAAGGAGAGCAAGGUUGGUGGUGAAUGAAGAGUUUUUGUGAAGCUUUUUGUGAGUUUUCUGAAGAAUUCGUGAAGAGAAUUGAUGGUGAAUCGAAAAGUUUGUUACGGUUCUGUUCAAGGUAUUGUGUUUACAAUAUGUAGAACCGGUCUUGGCUUGGUUCAGGACAGCAUGUCGGCUUCCAUGAUCCUUUAAGAAGUGAGCUUCGUUCUAGAUUUUGGAUGAUGAAUUUGGACGGUUACGAGACGACACUUCUAGCCGGAGAAGAACUCUGUUAGCCAUCACGCUCUACCACCAAUGCGAGCCUACAUAGUCUUGGGAAAUUUUCUGAUGUAAUCUCUUUGUAAUGGAUUUGGAUUAUAUUUGUAAUGGAUUUUGUAUGUGUAACAUUUUGUCUUGGAUUUUGUAUGAAAUUGGUUUUUUAAAUGAGUUUUGAAUGACAAUAUGAAUAUUGGUUGGGAUUUGUAAGGGAACUUUGAAUCUAAAUCCCGCGGUUUUAACUCUCGACUUUAUGAACUUCCAACAAUAUUUCUUCCAAUUUUCUUUAAAAUCUCAAUGGCAUAAGAAGUGAGUAAAACUCGGAUGACGCUUCAAUUCAUAAUGAUCUUGAUGAAUGAUUAUAUUUUGAAUACGCUUUCAAACUAAACCUCCUCACCCAACCGGUAACAUAAGGCAUGAAUAUUGAAUAUUGACCUUGAGCUUUUAAAUGGUGAAGAUACGUUGAAACUAUGCCACUAAAUGAACAUGAGCCUUUGGAUCUUGAUGGAC